GAGUACGUGAAACCGUUUAGGGGUAAACCUGAGAAACCCGAAAGGUCGAAGGGAGAAAUUCAUUCGCGUUUCGUCAUCGGCGAUUAGCGGUCGCGCGACGGAAUCGUACAGUUAUCGAUUUCGCACCUUCCGUUAGUCGAACCGGAGACGAACGCGUGCACUUUUCUCCUGGUAGGACGUCGCGAUCCGUCGGGUGUCGGUCUACGGUUCGCGGAGGAGCCCGUUCGUCGUUCUUUACGGAACGUGUACGAGCGGACCCGCGUGACCCGGCCGACUCGCUCGACGGUAUACGAAAGGUUCGGAGCCGCCGUUAAAGCGUUCGGCUCUCGGCAAGCGCGUCAGAUGUCGUUGGCAAUCGGACCUAGUGCCGAUUCUAACCUCUGACGACUGUUGGCCGGGAAGUUCUCGAACAGACUCCCGUUUUCUCUUUCACGAGAGAAAGAACCGAUCAGCGACGCUAUAGCUUUGGGUACUUUCAGG
rnacentral:rRNA from 1 species